GUACUUGUCUUGCACACAGCACAUAUACUAAAAUUGGAAUGAUACAGAGAAGAUUAGCAUGGCCCCUGCGCAAGGAUGACUCGCAAAUUCGUGAAGCGUUCUAUAUUUUG